rnacentral:rRNA from 1 species
AGAACGAACGCUGGCGGCAUGCCUAAUACAUGCAAGUCGAACGAACUCUUCGGAGUUAGUGGCGCACGGGUGCGUAACGCGUGGGAAUCUGCCCUUGGGUUCGGAAUAACAGUUGGAAACGACUGCUAAUGCCGGAUGAUGACGAAAGUCCAAAGAUUUAUCGCCCAGGGAUGAGCCCGCGUAGGAUUAGCUAGUUGGUGAGGUAAAGGCUCACCAAGGCGACGAUCCUUAGCUGGUCUGAGAGGAUGAUCAGCCACACUGGGACUGAGACACGGCCCAGACUCCUACGGGAGGCAGCAGGUAGGGAAUAUUGGACAAGUGGGACGAAAGCC